AUUAUGAGUACUCUGAGGUUUCUGCCUUCCAUUGAAUUCUCUUUCCAGGAGAAAGAAAGCAAAGAUCAUCAGUUUCCCUGAAAAAUGAUUGAGAAUUUUUUUCUUCUUUUUAAGAAAUUUUGAAGAUUUUAUAUUGGCAAAAUGCAUGGCAUGAAGGACAGGAAAAACUCACAUCUUUAGCUAUGUGAAAGAACUGAUGUGGAAACGUCUAUACCAGGUGAGAUUUCAUGAGGAACAUUUUGAGAGUCGAGUUGGUUCUCCUCAAAGGAAUGCUGAAGUCCUAAUGCCUACAACUAGU